AUUAUAAAAAAGUGUCAGUGUGUGGUAUGAACCUUGCUUUGGAUAAAAUUUCUUUCUUUGGGACGGCACAUUGGAACUUUGCAGUUGACUGUCUUCCGACAAUAUCAGACACAUACGCUGAGAGUGCCGCAUAAAGGAUAUCAAGGUAUGUGCUCUUUUGCAUGCGAAUAAGAUGGUGUGAUUUAAAAUAAAUUAACAAUUUUUCUUAGAAAUAUUUUUAUUGUAAAGUUUUA
rnacentral:lncRNA from 1 species